rnacentral:lncRNA from 1 species
CCACCACCGCCAUCACCACCACCAACUGCUCCCUUCUGGGGGCCAACAGCCCUGCAGGGCAGGCAGGAUCCUCAGACGUGCCACGCCACAUCGCCCAUCAUUGUCAUCGCAAUUGGAGUGGUUUUCCAAUACUGCAACGUUGUAUCAACUGGCAUGGGACCUUAUCUCCUAAGCUGUGCUUUUGGAAUGCCUUGGUGCUCAGGCACACAUUCAUGGCUCCCGGUAUAAGGGAGAGAACAAAGCUUUGGAGUCCCCGACAGACCUGGGUUCAAGACCCAGCUCUGCACUUGGAGUUGCGUGACCCUGAGAGUUACUGAACCACGUCAUGUCUCCGCAUCAGGAUGGCCUCGCUUGGUCCCGAGUGUUGAGGGUCUGAGGAGCAGUGGGCAUUGUGCCCUGAGGGGUCUUCAAGGAAGUGCGUUGUACAGUCAUUCAGCCAACAAAUAUUUGCCUGCACGUUUCGCUUAUGGGAAACACCUGGGAGACUCCUGAAGUCCAGGCAGGAGGGCAGGCACUAAGGACAGCAGUGAGUGGGGACAGACCCUGCCCCAUCCAUGGGGCCGGCACUCUG